ensembl:lncRNA
GGGGACACAUGGUUACAUGUAAUUUUCCACUGCAAGGAUGAUCAGCUGUCCUUCCUGUCUCCCUGUAGCACCGUCUUAGGCGUCUUACAUUACAGACAUUGCAGUUUAUUGCUCUGGCCACAUCUGCAGUCCUCACGCCUCCCUGCAGCAGGUCUAUGGCAUGUUCACGCAGGUGAGCAGGAACAUAGCGAACAGUUACAGGCAUCUUUCUUCUGGUGUUUUUCAGAAUGAGGGAACACCACCUUAAGCUCAACCUGGCAAAAUCUGAGCUUCUCGUCAUCCCAGCCUGUCCCUCAAUCAACCACAACCUCACUAUACAGCUCAGCUCAAGCACACUCAAGCCGACCAGGAUGGCCAGGAACCUUGGGGUGAUUCUCGAAGACAACUUCACCUUUACAGUCCACAUCUCAACAACUGCACGGUCCUGUAGGUUCAACCUGUACAAAAUCAAGAAAAUCAGACCCUAGCUCACCGAACAGGCUACACAGAUAUUAGUCCAGGCUCUUGUUAUCUCAAAACUGGAUUACUGCAACUCACUACUCUCGGGCCUCCCGGCCAGUUCCAUCAAACCCCUUCAAAUGAUUCAGAAUGC